rfam:Loxodonta africana unplaced genomic scaffold scaffold_12, whole genome shotgun sequence.
CCCUGGGUGGUGUAAAUGGUUAAUGCGCUUGGCUGCUAACCAAAACGUUGGUGGUUCGAGUCCACCCAGAGGUG